rnacentral:tRNA from 1 species
AAAUAAGAAGCAAUUAAUGCAUUUAAUUUCGACUUAAAAAUUAGAGUUAAAAUAAACUCCUUAUUUA